GACGAACGCUGGCGGCGUGCUUAACACAUGCAAGUCGAACGGAAAGUCCCUGCUUUUGUGGGGUGCUCGAGUGGCGAACGGGUGAGUAACACGUGAGUACCCUGCCCUUGACUUUGGGAUAACUUCAUGAAACUGGGGCUAAUCCCGGAUAGGAGCUCUUGCUGCAUGGUGGGGGUUGGAAAGUUUAGGCGGUUGGGGAUGGACUCGCGGAUUAUUAGCUUGUUUGUGGGGUAGGGGCUUAGCAAGGUUUUGACGGGUAGCCGACCUGGGAGGGUGACCUGACCAAUUAGAAUGGGAAUGAGACACAGACCAGAACCGGAAGGGAGGGUGGAGAAGAGUGUACAAGGGGCGGAAGCCUAGUGUAGCAACGCAGCGUGCGGUAAGACAGCAUGCGGGUAGGAAACCGCAGUCGCCUGAGACGAGACGAGAAUGACAGUAAUGGGUAAAGAAGCACCGGCUAACUACGUG
rnacentral:rRNA from 1 species